GGUGUUUCUCGAAUCCUUGCCUCAGAACACAACCGUAUGAAGCCGCAUCUGCAAGGCAAAUGAAUCCUGAAACGGAGGUUAGCCUCCUCCACCCUCCCGUCCCCCGUUUUGUUGUGAAAGAGAAU